GAGUUUGAUCAUGGCUCAGGAUGAACGCUAGCGGCAGGCCUAACACAUGCAAGUCGAGGGGUAGAGUUAGCUUGCUAACUUGAGACCGGCGCACGGGUGCGUAACGCGUAUGCAAUCUACCUUGUACAGAGGGAUAGCCCAGAGAAAUUUGGAUUAAUACCUCAUAGUGUUAUGAUGUGGCAUCACAUUAUAACUAAAGUUCCAACGGUACAAGAUGAGCAUGCGUCCCAUUAGCUAGUUGGUGUGGUAACGGCAUACCAAGGCAAUGAUGGGUAGGGGUCCUGAGAGGGAGAUCCCCCACACUGGUACUGAGACACGGACCAGACUCCUACGGGAGGCAGCAGUGAGGAAUAUUGGCCAAUGGGCGCAAGCCUGAACCAGCCAUGCCGCGUGCAGGAUGACGGUCCUAUGGAUUGUAAACUGCUUUUAUACAGGAAGAAACACCCCUUCGUGAAGGGACUUGACGGUACUGUAGGAAUAAGGAUCGGCUAACUCCGUGCC
rnacentral:rRNA from 1 species